rnacentral:rRNA from 1 species
UACGUAGGGUGCAAGCGUUUAAUCGGAAUUACUGGGCGUAAAGCGUGCGCAGGCGGUUAUGUAAGACAGAUGUGAAAUCCCCGGGCUUAACCUGGGAACUGCGUUUGAAACUACAAGGCUAGAGUGUGGCAGAGGGGGGUGGAAUUCCACGUGUAGCAGUGAAAUGCGUAGAGAUGUGGAGGAACACCGAUGGCGAAGGCAGCCCCCUGGGUUAACACUGACGCUCAGGCACGAAAGCGUGGGGAGCAACAGG